GCGGAGAUGGAGCAGCCUCCGCACAGCAGCAGAUAAGGGAAGAUAAGGGCAGGCAGCGGGAAGCCACGAGUCACGGGGUGGGGUUUGUACGCACUUGAAGAGGAGGUUGUGCCCGGUUCCGAUGCUCCUUCAAAGCCCUAAAGGAGCAGUUAAAAUUUCAGAGGAAAUUUUUCCUUCCUCUGCAGCAUCCUCGGCGUCGCCUUUGCUCGGCAGCCUGUACCAAACACAGGGAACGAGACAAUAAAACAUGACAGGUAAAAAUUGAAUUGCAAAGCUGUCAACCUGCUGUGCUUGGACCCUACACCUUAACUGGGGUUUGGAGGGAUACAGGCUUUGUCCUACCAGACACUGCCGUGAUUUUUAGCUGCUAAUCAAGAGGAAGAGGCGGGGGCGAGAGCAAGUGGUGCAAAGAGCUGCAGAAGCCCCAGCCAAGGGGGUUCUCCUGUCCUCAGCCAUGGUGGGACCCUGGCUGGUGGCUGCUGGGGGACACUGUGCUUGCAAGUCACAGCAAGAGGUGUCUGAGCCAGCACCAGAACCCCAGAAUCCCACCAGGAACUGCUUUUCCAGGAGUUUAUGCUCAACCCAAAAGCCCAAAUCUCCAGCACUGCCCCCACAGCUCCUGCGCUCAGCCCCUGCCUUGGUCCAGCCCCAGCUGCACACGCAGCUCCAGCGGCUCUGCUCAGCAGCGAGGGAAAUGUGUGCGAGGAGAAAAAGAGAAGAAUGCAAACAAUGCAGCAGUCAGGGUGUGUUAAACCCCCCAGAACUGCCUCCAAAAUAAUGCAGCCGGUUUUGAAGGCAGCCAGCAGAGGGGUUACUCCUGCCCCGGCUCUGCGGGAGGGACCCUGCACUCACGGCGAUGCUCACGGCACAGGGACAAGGACAAGGACACGUCCGCCGGGCUGAGCCUGCGUCCUGCCCUACCUCCGGAACGGAAUGUGGCAAGGAGGAGCGUGGCCAUGGGGGAAGUCCUGAGAAGGUGGAGAAAUGGAGUGAAAAAUAAAACGGAUUGCUAAGAAUCCAUGCGGGACACUUCGGGACCUGCCGUCCUCUCCGACGGAGCUGCCCCGGGAGCAGGCACGGCACCAGUGGCGCCCGCAGUGUGCCAGGGCCACGGGCACCCCCUGCACCACCAGGGCACCGGUCACUGCAGCCCAGCCAGCCCUCGGGGCUGCUGUGCUCGGCCGGACACCACUGCCCAGCAGGAAGGACAUUUCCCACCGCCGGUGCUCUGAAGGAAUGCUCCGGAAGAUUUCACAAACUAAACGGCUGCUGGGGCUUCGGUGCAUGGAGAAGGUCAUCAUCUCUCAGGAUUUCAAGAGGCUCCUGUUUUAAGGAAGUGAAAUUUUAAACUUCAAAAUGGCAGAAAAGCCCCAUUUUCCCUGGAAAUAAUGGCAACAAAAAUUUUUCCUGGAUUUGUACCAAACUGGGUUA